rnacentral:rRNA from 1 species
AUUGAACGCUGGCGGCAGGCCUAACACAUGCAAGUCGAAUGGUAACAGGAAACAGCUUGCUGUUUCGCUGACGAGUGGCGGACGGGUGAGUAAUGUCUGGGAAACUGCCUGAUGGAGGGGGAUAACUACUGGAAACGGUAGCUAAUACCGCAUAACGUCGCAAGACCAAAGAGGGGGACCUUCGGGCCUCUUGUCAUCAGAUGUGCCCAGAUGGGAUUAGCUAGUAGGUGGGGUAACGGCUCACCUAGGCGACGAUCCCUAGCUGGUCUGAGAGGAUGACCAGCCACACUGGAACUGAGACACGGUCCAGACUCCUACGGGAGGCAGCAGUGGGGAAUAUUGCACAAUGGGCGCAAGCCUGAUGCAGCCAUGCCGCGUGUAUGAAGAAGGCCUUCGGGUUGUAAAGUACUUUCAGCGGGGAGGAAGGGAGUAAAGUUAAUACCUUUGCUCAUUGACGUUACCCGCAGAAGAAGCACCGGCUAACUCCGUG